rnacentral:rRNA from 1 species
AAAAAUUGGGUUGCAAUGGACAUAGCAAAGCCAGCGGCAACUGCAUAUCUUAGGAGGUGGCACACUAGGUUGUGGUCUAGGAGUCAGUUCUCAACAAUUUCCAAGGUGGAUUAUGUUACAAACAACUUGGCUGAGUGCUUCAAUAAUUGGAUUAAGCACCACAAGUCCUUGAACUUGGACGACUUCUUUGAUAAGGUUAGGCAGAUGAUUAUGAUCAUGUGGAACCAAAGGAGGAAAGUAGCAAGGAAGUUGGUUGGGUUGAUUCUUCCCCACAUAAUUAAGAAGUUGAAUGCAAAGACUAGAGAAUUAAACUUGGAGGUGGUAGAAAGCUCAGAAGAAGUUGCUGAAGUGACAGCAUUGGGAGGCAGCGGCUUUAGGUUUGUGGUCAACUUGCUUGAUAGGACAUGUUCUUGUAGACAAUGGCAAGUUUCUGGCCUUCCUUGCAAACAUGGUCUAGCAUUUAUCACAUCUCUUAUCAAUGCACACGUACAGAACUAUGUGGACUUGUAUUACUCCAUUGACAAAUUUAGAGCAGCCUAUGACCAACUAAUUCCUGCCAUGGUUGACAAGAACCAAUGGCCUAAAUCUGACUAUGGAUUCUUC